rnacentral:lncRNA from 1 species
UGAUAAUCAACACAAGGACUGACAUUGAAACUUUUUCCUCCUAGGAGACGUACUUUUCACUUGAGUCCAGACAUGCAUGUAGGUGAGAGUGGCUAUCAGUGAGAUGGUGAGAUUCACUGUGAGGGAGGAGCAGUGGAAGUUGUCCAGUUGGAUGUGGCACCUUGACUUCAGUACUAAAGGAUCUGACUUGGAAGUCACUGAGUCACACUGGAGAUGGGAGGACAGAGAAAAGAGAAGCCAAAUCCCAAGGAGUGAUAGAAACUUCUGGAUACCAUUUCCUGUAGAGAACAGAAAGUGACGCUUAGAAAGAUACUGAAGGGAGAAGAGCCUUACUUCCCUCUACUUGUAAAUAUAUUAUUUAAUUACAUUUAUUAUAUAGUACACUUAUUAUAUAAUGUAAAUAUUGUAGUAUAAUUUAUGACUGUCUAUAAUGUUAACAUAUAUAUACAUGUAAUAUGUGUAACUUGUAUAAUGUAUUACAUUACAAUAUGUAAUAUUCAUAACAUUAAUUAAAUGCUAAUGAACUUAAAUCCUCUGUGGAUCUUUCAGGGUGCAGAUAUCUAUGCAGACAAACAGAGCUUAUGUGGUCAUACAGUUCAGAAUCAAAGGCAAUUGCAUAUCCUUUAAUACUGCCUAGUUUGCACAACUUCUGUAGGCUUGGUACCAUUACAGCCAUUCAGUCCAUGGCACAUCAUUGUUUUAUUUGAUUUUAGUAAGUUCAUGUCUGUCUUGAGAACAAAAUUUUUUUUUUUAAUAUCACUUUCAAUUUUGCUUCCACAAAGGUUCAGUGAGAAAGAUCUGCUCAUUGGAAUGGUAACUAACUAAAAGGUUUUGGAUGUGAUCAGAGCCAUAGCUGGAUCAUUACUUUGAGCAGAAAAAUACUGAUAAAAUUGGCGAUCUUGUGAAAAGUUGUGAUGAGGGAGAGAUUGUUUUAUUGUGUUCUCAAGUUUUGAAUAGGAAGGCACAGGAGGAUACUAAGCUGUAAGGCAAUCCAGUUUAGAAUGUGAAUUUUAGACCAGUUGAAAAGUCAACCUUGUAAAAAGAGUGAAGUUCUCAACAUUGCCUAUAACGGAGAUAGUGCUGUGCAAUCACAGUGCAGGCCAGACUGGGCCACCUAAGUUGGUACAGGAAUCCAAGGUAGAAAUAAAGUACCAGACAUAGCACA